CAGCGGAGAUGUUCCUUGGCUGUUCCUGACACCCCCUUAGCACCUCCCAGCGUGAGCCAAACACUCUGGCACUUUACUGCCACCUUCUGGAAAGCUCAUAAAUCUGGUGUCUGCUGCACUGGAAUUGUGAAUUGUGCCCUGUUGGAAAGGCUUGUGGACAACUUACAUAACCAUCCAUAUACUUCGAGUCCAUAGAGAACACCAAGAAAUUUUGGGUCACCAGAGCUUUGAAAGUGGGUGUAUAUAGUCGAAGAGGAAGCUGAAGAUAACCCGGUGGCUUCUCAGUUCUCCACAGCUGGCCUUCCUAGCAGCAGCUUGUUGACAGCACCCCACCCCUGUUGAUGCUCUCUACUUCAGGUGACUGUGACCUGACAUCAGUGGGAGAAGACAUUUGAAAAUAAAGCUAUUUACUCUCAUCCCCACUGCCCUAGGGAAGGCAUGAGCCAUAAAAAUGUAGCUUAAAAAGGAAGUCUUAUCUAUACCACCUGAUCUCUACUCUCAGUCUUCAUUUGGCCCUUCAUUACCUGGCCCUUCCACUCCAGGUGGUAGCUGGGACUCUGUGGAGAAAACACUCUCUCUCUCAAACUGCCUGGUUUGGGGAGCAAGGUCUUGUUCCUGCGGCAGCUCUUUCUCUGCAGACCUUGAAGGUGAAGUGCUGCUGUGCACAUAGGAAGCUGGAACCCCGCUUGACUCUACCCACAGGACGAAGUCCUUCAAACUCACAGGACCUCUUGAGGGAAGCCCAGUCACCCAAAGGAACGGAUGAUUCUCUAACUUCAGAUGGCCCACACCGCAUUCCCCUUCGAGGCAGCCCAGCAACCUGGGGAAGGAACAUAGUGUGGCGGGAAGAGUCCUGCCCAAGGCCACCAGCCCAAAAGGGGCAGAAUUGGCACUUGCACUCAAGGA
rnacentral:lncRNA from 1 species